CCUACGGUAGGCAGCAGUGGGUGAUAUUGCACAAUGUGGGGAACCCUGAUGCAGCGACGCCGCGUGGGUUAAGGAGCGUUUCGGCCCGUAAAGCCCUACCGGCCGGGAAGAAGAUGACGGUACCUUACCAAGAAGCCCCGGCUAAAGAUGUGCCAGCAGCCGCGGUAAUACGUUGGGGGCAAACGUUAUCCGGAGUUACUGGGUGUAAAGGGGGGGCAGACGGGAAUGCAAGCCAGGGGUGGAAGCCCGGGGCCCAACCCCGGGACUGCUCUUGGAACUGCAUGGCUGGAGUACAGGAGGGGCAGGCGGAAUUCCUAGUGUAGCGGUGAAAUGCGUAGAUAUUAGGAGGAACACCGGUGGCGAAGGCGGCCUGCUGGACUGUGACUGACGUUGAGGCCCGAAGGCGUGGGGAGCAAACAGGAUUAGAUACCCCAGUAGUC
rnacentral:rRNA from 1 species